rnacentral:lncRNA from 1 species
CUGAGUCAUUAGUAUGGUUAUAAAACUCACAUGGAGUAUUAAAAACACACGUUGAUUACGGGGUAAUCAAAUGCUUUAGUAAUUUUAUACAUACAUAAAUCUACUAUUUAGGUAUGAAAAACAUCAUUGUGUUACAGUUUUGGAACUUUUAAACUGCCACCCACUUACAGAAAAACAUCGGAUUUUUAGAAGUAAACAUUCAAAACAGUCGGGUCUUGGUAGAAGGAUACUUUUAUACUAGCAGAAAAUUAUGGGAUUUUCUAGAAACUUUUAAAUAUAUCCAAACCAUUCUAUUCAGUUUUAUACAAAAAAAUUACAUUGAACAAUUUCAAACGUUUUCUUCAUACUUAUACAAACAAUGACAUUAAAUACUUAUGAACUCACCAGCUUAAAUGCUGACCUACGCUUUCAAAAUAACUUGUAUUCUCAGGUUGUCAGUAGACAGAUACCGAUGCCAGGUUUUGAGAAGACGAAGCUUAUGUCAAGACUCAUCUUUUAUUUUGAUUAUCCUGUUUAUAUCAUAUUACUAUGAAAGAGCACAUAUGUAUUAAACUAUACUAUUAAUGCAAUGGAUGAUGUUGUUGCUUGUUUACUACUUUGCAUCGUUAUGAUACUGUACAUGAAAUCAUCCACCCCUGAACGUUUCCGCCAUUCUGGUUUGGGGGUGUGACAGAUUGGUAUCAGAUAAUUGUUUAUAGUGAAUUGAGUGUAUCAACCCAUAAAAGAUAUACGAACUAUAAACACAUUGGGAUUAAAGUACUCUGACCAAGAGUUUAUACUUUAAGUACUAAAAUACUUAAUCAAAAGUAUACAAUACCUACAUACUUACUACAGAAUAGUGUCAUACUAGAACAGAACAAAAGUAUUUAAAUUGUUUGACACAACAGUCAAACCUGGGCAGUUAUGUAAUCAUAUAAGGAAUCAAUAUAGCCUGAUCAACUAUAUUCAUUUGUGAUAUGAUAAACAUGUGCUUGGGAGUGAUUGUGGUGUUGCAAACAAACCUAAAACUCACCAAAUUCUAGAUCCUGAGAAUUCAUUAGAACAAGACAAAGUAAAAUACUAUAUGGGUAUUUUAGAUACUAGUCAUUCAAAGAACAAACUUGUUAGGAUUAGCAGUAAGCUUCUCUUAUAGAAACUUUUAUUUGUUUAUCGCCUUGUCUUAGAAGUGUAAAUAAAUUUCUUACCCUCAUUUCUCAUCUAGAUAAAUGGUUGGAUUCCACCUCCCCAACAACCCUUACUUUCCCGACCAAGAGAAUGAAGGAAGGCUAGAUGCAGAACUAGAAGCAGAACCUGCAAUUCCCCUUAAUGCUGAACUUGCUGAAGAUUUCCCAGAGGAUCCUGAACCCGAACCUGAAGUCGAGAACUUACCUCUAGAAGCCCAAAUCCCAAUUCAGAACCCUCAUCAAGACUUUCAUGGUCUGACGCCCCUAUCGGUGGAAAGCUUAGAGACAUGGAAUCAAGAAGAAGAUCAACCUAUACCAUACAACGGAGACAGAAGCUUCUACAACGUGAGCGAAGGGGGCUCAGCAGACGGAAUUCUGCCAAUCAUGGUCCGCAUGAUUGCUUGCAAUGAAAUACAAGGCAGGACAACCAUCAACCGAAUCGUGGAUUUGUUGCCAAUAUUAGGAUGAAUACACUUCACAUCUGUCGUCUGGAAGAUGCUCGUGACCAAGCAUUGUGGGACAACGAAACUUUACUACAAGGAUUAGCUGAGACUCGAGCCGAAGUCAUAGAGCUCCGAGUACGCCAGAGGGUGUACGAAAGACACCUACUAGAUAUGGAGCGUCAACUGGCUAAACUAAGGAUUCAUCCGAGGGAUACCCGUCACCAGUAGGAGAUGCUUUACCUUCUUUCCUUUCAGUUUAAGGAAUAGUCUUCCUAUCUAUGCUCUAAGUAGCACUUUUUUUUUCAAUGUAACUAUCCCAGUAUUUUAAGUUCUAUUUCACUUAGACUUUAUGAUGUCAAAGUCUUUCCUACUCCUAAUAUGAUGUAAGACCUACUCCAAGGUCAAAUUUUCCCGAACCUAUUACAUCAUAAAUAUCAAUGAUAUUGACAGUCGAAUAGUUCCCUAAAAGUCUCUGUCCAUAUACUUUCAUCCUCCAAACAUUAGAACUCUAUCUAAAUCCCACCCUAGUCAAAAUUAUUGGACUAUGGUAACUUAGCUCAUGGAUCACUUCCAAUUCUUUUCGAAAGUUGAAUCAUGUUAUCCACUAUGACAACCCAAAGUUUAUUCCGUUACAUUACCCCGUUACCGUUAACGGAAUAUUCCAUUUUAUAAAAGUUCCGUUAAUUAGAGGUCGCAAAAUAAAUAAACGUUUUAUUAUGUCAUUAUAGUCGUAAUAAAGUAAAUAAAAACACCUAAGUUGCAUUUUCCAUUAAUUGGAAAAAGUAGCUUUUAUUAUUACGACCACUAAAUCGGGUGCGACCAAAAGCCCCGCUUAACGGCAGUAUUGGGUAGAAUCCCACUGAGCCCCAACUCCAACCCCUAUAUAAGGGUGAGUGGAGUCCAUUAGAGACUUUUUACACUCUCCCCACCCUCUCUCUCUCUCUCUACAACUUAAAUUCGAGCCAAAAAUCGUCCGUUUCGAGCCUCAAACGAGUAGGUAAACUAUCCUAACUCGUUGUAUAACUUAUCUAGCUUGCAAUUUCGAGUUUAAAACAUAAAAUAGGGACAUAAUCAUGUGUUUACGGCCCAAGAACACUCUUGGACCGUAAACACCAUUUAUUGGGGUUUUUAAGCCCCAAAACCCCUCCAAAUUGCCCCUAAGGCUUAGAUAUGAUUUUUAGGCUUGCAUAUUCGGACUUAGAACACCUUGAAAUGAGUUUUUGAAGAGUAAACAUGAGUUUACUGCCCAAGAACAUGCUUGGGCCAUAAACUCCUCUUCAUGGGGAGUAAACUCAUUUUUGUGUGUUAAAAAUGCCCUUAAACACACCAAUGGCCUUGGAUUAAAUUCUAGAAUCAACCACCAACAAGCUAGGGACCUUAAACUCAAUUAAAACUACUCCAUAGGGAGUUCACGGCCGUAAACCCCUCAUGAAAGGGUACCUGGUGCCCUAAACUCCCAAUUUGACUUGGAAAAAUGCUUAGGAUUUUAUCCUCUACCAUUUAAGACUUAAAACAUCCAAGGAAGAGGUCCUUGGGAGCUUACGGCCGUAAACUCCCAUGGUUGGGGCCGUAAACUCCCAUUUGGUCCCUUUAAAUGCCUUAAACCCAUUCACACAUUUUAUAUUUGAGGCUAGCAAAAUUCCACAAUUGAUAUGAGGCUUUUAAACACCCUAGAACACCCUCACCAUGAGUUUACGGCCGUAAACUCAUGGGGAGUAGUCCCAGGGCCAUAAACACCCUAUGGUCAGUUUACUCUCGAAGAGUAAACUCCAUUCCUAAGUCAUUCAUGCCCUUAAAUGUUACCCGGGACACCCCAAACACUUAACCAAGUGUUUUCCGCUCUUUAGGGUGUGUAUACUUGUUAAAUUAGUAUUAAAUGUACUAAUUGUAUGUGAACAUAUGUUAUCAUAUGUUAAAUAGGUCACUAAGUGUGUCCAAGUCUCCACUUGACACCGAGCACCCAAUCGGCGCCUUUGUCAGAUCCACUUACACCAGGUGAGUUCAUACCCCUGAAUGAACCUUCUAAAUGUUUUUACAUGUUUUAUAGGGGGGGGGGGAAUACAAGUUAAACAUGUCAGUUAUCAUAUCAACCACAUGUGAUUGAUAACCCGCAUGCACAAUGAUUUACCACACUGUAAACCGUUUUACCGAGUAGGACACUAUAAAUGGUUUUCUAAAAUGUUUUCACUUGUUCAAAACUCUUACUUAUACUGUUUUAACAAAGUUCAUUUUAAACUGAUUUAUGAAAGAUUUCCAAAGAAUUUCUAAAGGUUUUCAAACUCAUUUUACCAAAGAACACCAAGUUGUGAUUUUCCUAAGUAUAAAGGUUUUUCCAAGGUUUUCAUCAAAGUUCUCUUUCUUGUCGUAUACUUUUACUUUUACCUGUCAGAUACCGAUGCUUCUCUUUUACCUAGUUUGAACUCCUACUCGAUUACGCUUCCACUUCAUGAUACGCUUAUACUUCAUAAUUCGAUUAUCCCACACUGUACGCUUAUACUUCACGACUCGGUUAUUCCACUGUAUGCUUAUACUUCACAAGUCGGUUAUUCCACUGUACGCUUAUACUUCACAAGUCGGUUAUUCCGAUGUACGCUUAUACUUCACAAGUCGGUCAUUCCACACGAUACGCUUAUACUUCACGAUUCGGUCAUUCCACACGAUACGUUUAUACUUCACGAUUCGGUUAUUCCACACGAUACGCUUAUACUUCACGAUUCGGUUAUUCCACACUGUACACUUUUACUUCACGAUAUGAUUUUCACUGUUACACAUUCAAGCGUAGUUAGAUGUAUGUCUGUGCUUGUAUAGAUGCAUAUAAAUAAUGAUUGAAGGACUUAGGAAGGCUUGUCCGCCCUAUUUCCUUUUCUUCGUUGAGAUGUGGUCUGGUGGGAUCGGAUGUCCGUCCGAAGGUCGUUUGAUUCAUUAGUUAUAUAUUAUGUACACAAGCAUAGACAUAUAGGUUUACUUUAGUCAGUUCAGUUAUGAGUCUCUACCUCUAGUUCAACACUGUAUUGGAAACACACUACCCACUAUUUGGGAUGCAUCUUCGGGACACGGCCUUCUCCGUCGUCUAGUUGGUAACCAGAGUCUCCUGUAGGGAGAGCGGACAUUGUGUGUAUAGAUCUAUAUGGGAUUGACACCCCCGCACCCUGACUGCUAGCUACAGUCCACGGCCUACCAAGCCAAGGGGUGACAAAUGUCAUAUUCUCUAGACGCUUGUAGGGCGUCAGGUACUCUAGUGUCGGUUAGUAUGGUUACGAGUAUCCCAGGUUACCUUAUAAUUCAUGGCCUUAAGGUAAUGGUUUUUCACCAGCAAUUUACACUGUAUGCUGGAACCCACUUUCGGAGUCACACUGUUUUAGACCUUGCUAGACGUAUCAUUCAGUUGAUACUGUCUGGGGUCUGUGUUCACUGUUUUAGACCUUGCUAGACGUAUCAUUCAGUUGAUACUGUCUGGGGUCUGUGUUCACUGUUUUAGACCUUACUAGAUGUACCUUUCAUUCGGUACCGUUUGGGGUUUGUGUCUCUUUCUGUUAGACUGAGCCAGGCGUGUCGUUCAUUCGAUACUCUCCUGGAGUCUAUGAUUCCUUUUGCCUUAGUCAGCAGUCCUCACUGCUGAGGCAUAUGUUAUUUUCCUUGAUAUUCUCCGAAUUUCUUAAAAAGCAAAUCCCGUAUUUUGAAAAUGAAAGUGUUUAAGGGAAAACUACUUUUUACCACAUAACUCUGACCAGUCUUGGUAGAAGACUGCAUUUUAAAUAGAAAAUAUAGGAUUUUCUGGAAAGGACACUAUUUCACUGUAUACUUGAAAACUACUACUUUUAUUAAAGUUAUUUGAAUAAAAUGUCACUAAAUGCUUAUGAACUCACCAACAUUUGUAAAAAUGCUGAUACUCGCUUUUCAAAUAACUUGUAUUCUCAGGUUAGCAUUAGACAGGUACAUCCCAGGAGCUGUUGAUGAAGAUAGUUUAGUACCACGCUGUACUUAUUUUAUUACUUGUAUUACCUUGUUGUAUUGUAAAGUAAACCAUGUAAAACUAUUACUAUUAAUGCAAUGUUUUGUUGUACUUUGAUUACUAUAAUGCAUGUGUUGUGAUACUUGACAUGACGUCAUCCACCCCAGAACGUUUCCGCCGUUCCAGUUUUGGGGUGUGACAUCCACUAACCAAUGAUAGCCUAGUUCAAAAUAGCAAUCCUAUUGUGACCAUUCUAUGAACUUACUUCUACUCUUUACUAGUACUGCAUUAUAGGGAUGUAGGGCAAACCAUUGAGAUCAGUUUAACCAAAACAAAAAAUUUACAUUUGCAAGAAUGAGUAAAAUACAUCUAGGACCGAUCAUAAUCACUCACGAACUCCUUCUUUUUUCAUAUAGCAGAAUCAUGUCAUCAUCCAGAAAUAAUCAGCCGAACAACAAAACCCCGAUCCUUCAUAUAGACGUCGCUACCUUCCAAGCCGCGGUAACAGCUGCUGUGAAAGCUGUCCUGGCACACAUUAGCUCUGGUAGCGCAAACAAAGCCGACAAAGGGGUUGACAGUUCAGAUUGUUGUAUCAAUACGGGAAAUCAACAAAUGAUAAAAGUCACAGGCGUACAAAGCCGUAAAGCUAAGAAAAAGAAACGGAAGCAUCAAGCCCAAAAGGAGCGCAAGCGAUCCCAAAGACUUUCCAUGCAACAGCAACAAAUGGCGACCUCUGCCACUUCAGCACCGGUCAAACAAUAUAAAGGAAAACUCCCGAAGUGUAACAAGUGUAGCUUCCAUCAUAAUGGAGCUUGUCGUGAAAUGCAAUACUGCAAUUGCAAUAGAAUAAUGCACCUUGCUUGUGGCUGUGGAGCACCAGCACGACCCAUCUCCCAAGUCCCUGGCACCAGAGUCAACCAAGCUUGCUAUGGUUGCGGUGAAAUCGGACACUUUAAAUGGGAUUGCCCUAGAAGGAGGAACAACAAAAGCACUCGAGUCUGCAUCACUCCGACCCUGCACACCACUUCAACCACCGAUGUUGGUGUAAGCCAUAUAUGUCAUAUAUGCGGUGAGAUAGGACACCUCAAGAAGAAUUGUCCAAUAACAAAGAACUCGGGCGCAGACGAGAAAAUUCUAAGGAUCACCGCCGCUGGAGAGACUACUCCAGAUUCACGUUGAAAUUCUAGUACAUUCCAUAGCGUUAAUGUUAGACUUAUAAACUUUUGAAAACCAGUGAAACUAGAGUCAUAUAUUUUGUGGAGAUCCCAUCAGUAUUAGGGACGCUCGUGCUACUCGUACUUACUUGUUGGCAGUAUACUUUGUUCGCAUCUGUAGUAUCAUAGAUGAAAUAAUGUACUAAAACUCUUUCAUAAGUUGUAUCGUUGUGUUUUGUAAUACUGUUUUGAAAUAGUCUAACGCUAGUCAUUCCGACUAAGCCCGAAAUUGUCGUGUGACUUGAGUUGAUCCGACCCUCACAGUGCCCAUUUCGUGCGGAAAUUCUUUUCCCUAUAAUCAACUUUCUAGCCGAGCCGUCAUUCUAGAGCUCCGAAGUACUCAUGCGUAUAGUGCCAUAUGUUCCGUAUCCUUCCCAAAGUAACCUCAGCAAACCUCCUUAGAAUACCACUCGUAUAGUAUGUCAAGCUCAAAUCCAAAGACCCAUAUGGUUAAUCGAUCACUGAGGAAUGUAUACGCAAGGGUGGUACGUAAUCAAAGUUCUACAGGCUUAGAAUUGAUGAUUCUGCUUUAACUUCUUUUCCUUGUUUGGAUGUGAGCUUAAGGAAGAAUCAUUUAUUCGAAUUCCUUUUCAAUCUUAAUUAUAUACGACUCGUAUACGCAAAACUGUGAUUGAUGAACCAAGUAUUAGUUCUAAUAUGAACUUCAGGAUGGAGACUUCUUAAGAUUACGAGUGAUCGUGCUGCCAUGCGAAUAAACUUAGAAGCCAAACACAUGCCCUUCCCGCCGAUCGGGACAAGAGAGUCAGAUGGAACAAAAGUACCUAUCCUUUUCCUUAAUUCAUGAGUAAUCAUACUUUCUUUUAGAUCUUCACAACAUCUAAUCAACCACAAGGUUUUGAUGUCAUAACCAGUAUGAAUUAGUUGAGUCUACAUCAAGCUGACAUCAAGCGCUUUGAGAAAGCAGUUCGUCUUAACCUGCCUAUCGAAGAAUCUCUAGUUAUUUACGAUGACAAAUCAAGUACGAACCUUCACAUCAGUUCGUGUAUUCAAAAUCAGAAGUACUUACGAAAGGAAUAUUAUGCAUUCUUUCCACACAUCGUCGAGACGAGCUGAGAAGUGAAGGACAUUUAGAACAUCCCAGAAGUACGCGACUUGCCCGACACCUUUCCAGAAGGACUACCGGGAUUACCACCACAACAUCAUGUCGAGCUCAAAAUCGACUUAGUUCCAGGGGCUACCCUAGUAGCCAAAUCACCUUAUCGUCUAGCUCCAACUGAGAUGCAGGAACUCCCCAGUGAGCUAAACGAACUCCUCAGAAGGGGAUUCUUUAGGCCAAGCUUCUCACCUUGGGGAGCAACGGACUUAUCUGUAAACAAGAAAGAGUGUUCCAAACGCUAAAGUAAGUCUGGUGCACCGCACCGAUAUUAUCCCUCCCAAAAGGGAUAGAAGAUUUCGUGGUGUAAUGCGAUGCAUCCAACCAAGGGCUUGGUUGUGCUCUUAUGCAAGAGGAAAGGUCACUGUCUAUACCUUAAGACAACUUAAGACGCAGGAAGUUAACUAUACAACACAUGAUCUUGAUGUCAGGAGCAGUGGUAAUUGCUCUGAAGAGCUGGAGACACUACUUCUAGGGUACAAGGUGUAAUAUUUUCACAGACCACAAAAACACUCAACACACAUUCGACCAAGAGUUAUCAUACCAGUGAAGUGAAACGAAAGAAGCAAAGCCGUAUCCCGAUAGUGAAAGGUUCGCUGGAAUGCCAAGCGAGGACUUCAGUUCACCUGGGAACGCAAGCAUCAAAUGAAGCUUCUAUCUGUAGCAAAGUUAUCAAUUCUACUUAAACUCUAAUUUCAGGACAAAAUUCUCUCUAACGGGGGGAUGAUGUGACAACCCGAUAUUUCGAGACAAUGUUAUGUAACACCAGUCAAAUUUAGGUCAAAAUUUAACUUCAAUAAAAUUUUAUUUGCGUUCAAUAAAGUGGUAGGAAUCGUAUCAAGGUUUUCGUACAUAUAAAGAACACUAAAAUCCGAGUUAUAACGAAGAAGUUAUGACCAAUCUAAGAUUCGCAGCAAAAACCGGCAACACUGAUAGACGUAAAACGCGACGUUUCAAUACAAUAAUUUUUAGCCUAAGGUAUCUAAAUGAAAGUUGUAGACAUCAUUAAACCGUAAACGUACAUAAAAAGAACGUCAAAAUCUGACUUCGUAUGAGGAAGAUAUGAUUUUUCCAAGAUCUGGAUAUAGCAGUAGACAGCUAAAAACUCGAAAUAGAGAGACUUUUGCCCGAAACAACCUAAAUGAGAAUCGAAGGUCUCAACAAUAGCAGCGCAAUGGUAAAAAGUCUGGCAAAAACAGACGUCGGAUGAAGAAGUUAUGGAUUUAUGACGGAGUUUGCGUGUCCCGGCCUACUAGAAAUAAUAUAUUAAAAAUAAAUCAGAAUUAGCCAACAAAGUCAAAACGAGAGUUGUAGAGCAUAAUCUCACCUACGCGCCGAUAUAAAGAACGUCGAAAACGGAGUUCGUAUACGAAAGUUAUAAAUUUCUGAAGUUCAGGGCACGAGCCCCAAUGUUGUGUUAGACACCACGACGUGGUAACAGUGCCACGACGUCGCAGGUGCUUUGGAGUCUGUCAGAACCACUUGCGAUGACGCAUGUAGUGACGACCAGCCACCACGACAUGGGAAAAGGUGCCACGACGUGGCACGGGGAAAAUUCAGUCCUGUAAAUAGAAACCGAAGGUCUUAGGUUUUGGCUGUUCAAUUCUACCUUCCUUCCUACUUUUACUCUGUGUCAAGCAUCCCGAGACUACCCCGAAGCCUAGGUAACACCUCCAACACACGACGCAAGUCCCGAAGUCCCGAUAUUUCCGAGAAAUCGAAUUCUUUCCAGUCGAAGUUCUGCCCGACUUUCGUCUCACAUUCUUCAAUCUAUCAAGUGAGUUCAUACCCCUAUACACUACACUUUCAAAUGCUUUAUAAAUGCCUUUUAUACACUUUUAAGGGGAAAGGGGGGAAUACAAUUAAACACACGGUUAUCCUCGCGUGAAUGACAUAAAUCUUUUGUUACACUUUUUAUUAUAUAAUCAAUCAUAUGUGAUUUAUAACUGUGUUUCAAGCAAAUGAUUUCAUAUACUUUAUAACUGCGUUUAGAGAAAAGGUCUCUUUUACUUUACACUGUCUUACCAAACAAACUACGUUUUAAAUUAUUUUAUACAUUGACAUCAAAUCAUCAGUAUUUAUUAUUAAACUAUUUAAAUGUUUUACAAAACUUCCUUUUAAACUUAUAUAUUAUGUGUACAUAUGUAGAUAUAAAAUUACUAUUCAAACAGUUCAAUACCUUUGGGUAGCAAACGUAUACCUUCUUCAAAUUACAUAAAUCACUAGCAAGCAAUUAUAGGUAUUGUUUAGGAGAAAUACUAUCAUAUACAAAUAUUAUAACAUAGAAUACUAUGACAAAGAAUAUUAUAACAGAAUGCAAAACAUGUGACGAUAACGUCUUCUCCUUUUGGGAAUAAAACAUGUUUUAUAUAAAUAUCAAACACUUUAUUUAUAUUUUGAGUAUAAAUGUUCGAUAAUGUUAUUACAAAUGUUAUACUAUACAUACAAAGCCGACACUACACUAGGGUUUACUAUUCAAACGAAACACACUUUUGGAAAAACUAUAAUAGGUAUAGUUUACAAGGUAAUCAUGAGAUUUUACAUACUAUAAAUACUAUAUCAAGGAAAUACUUUCAUAUAAAAGAAGACUUUUCAUACGUAAAUGUAUUUGAUACUAAGUUUUGUGAGACGUUCAGCUUCACCUACUUUCGAGAAUGCAGUUAAAGUUCUGUAUUAUAUACCAUAAUCUCUUGUAAGGAGAGCAUGAUACUUGUGUAUAGAUCUAUACAGGAUUGAUAAUCCCGCACCUAAGCUGUUAGCCACAGCUAGACCGGCAGGUCUGGGGUGACAAACGUCAUAACAUUUUAGCACCUGAAGAACGUUGUGACAGGCAGCCUGAGUCAUUAGUAUGGUUAUAAAACUCACAUGGAGUAUUAAAAACACACGUUGAUUACGGGGUAAUCAAAUGCUUUAGUAAUUUUAUACAUAAAUCUACUAUUUAGGUAUGAAAAACAUCAUUGUGUUACAGUUUUGGAACUUUUAAACUGCGACCCACUUACGGAAAACCAUCGGAUUUUUAGAAGUAAACAUUCAAAACAGUCGGGUCUUGGUAGAAGGAUACUUUUAUACUAGCAGAAAAUUAUGGGAUUUUCUAGAAACUUUUAAAUAUAUCCAAACCAUUCUAUUCAGUUUUAUACAAAAAAAUUACAUUGAAUAAUUUUAAACGUUUUCUUCAUACUUAUACAAACAAUGACAUU